AAGGUCCGUGUUCGAAAGGGAAACAGCCCAGACCACCAGCUAAGGUCCCAAAAUAUAUGUUAAGUGGAAAAGGAUGUGGCGUUGCCCAGACAACUAGGAUGUUGGCUUAGAAGCAGCCAUCAUUUAAAGAGUGCGUAAUAGCUCACUAGUCGAGUGACACUGCGCCGAAAAUGUACCGGGGCUAAACAUAUUACCGAAGCUGUGGAUUGUCCUUUGGACAAUGGUAGGAGAGCGUUCUAAGGGCGUUGAAGCAUGAUCGUAAGGACAUGUGGAGCGCUUAGAAGUGAGAAUGCCGGUGUGAGUAGCGAAAGACGGGUGAGAAUCCCGUCCACCGAUUGACUAAGGUUUCCAGAGGAAGGCUCGUCCGCUCUGGGUUAGUCGGGUCCUAAGCUGAGGCCGACAGGCGUAGGCGAUGGAUAACAGGUUGAUAUUCCUGUACCACCUAUAAUCGUUUUAAUCGAUGGGGGGACGCAGUAGGAUAGGCGAAGCGUGCGAUUGGAUUGCACGUCUAAGCAGUAAGGCUGAGUAUUAGGCAAAUCCGGUACUCAUUAAGGCUGAGCUGUGAUGGGGAGAAGACAUUGUGUCUUCGAGUCGUUGAUUUCACACUGCCGAGAAAAGCCUCUAGAUAGAAAAUAGGUGCCCGUACCGCAAACCGACACAGGUAGUCAAGAUGAGAAUUCUAAGGUGAGCGAGCGAACUCUCGUUAAGGAACUCGGCAAAAUGACCCCGUAACUUCGGGAGAAGGGGUGCUCUUUAGGGUUAACGCCCAGAAGAGCCGCAGUGAAUAGGCCCAAGCGACUGUUUAUCAAAAACACAGGUCUCUGCUAAACCGUAAGGUGAUGUAUAGGGGCUGACGCCUGCCCGGUGCUGGAAGGUUAAGAGGAGUGGUUAGCUUCUGCGAAGCUACGAAUCGAAGCCCCAGUAAACGGCGGCCGUAACUAUAACGGUCCUAAGGUAGCGAAAUUCCUUGUCGGGUAAGUUCCGACCCGCACGAAAGGCGUAACGAUUUGGGCACUGUCUCAACGAGAGACUCGGUGAAAUCAUAGUACCUGUGAAGAUGCAGGUUACCCGCGACAGGACGGAAAGACCCCGUGGAGCUUUACUGUAGCCUGAUAUUGAAAUUCGGCACAGCUUGUACAGGAUAGGUAGGAGCCUUUGAAACGUGAGCGCUAGCUUACGUGGAGGCGCUGGUGGGAUACUACCCUAGCUGUGUUGGCUUUCUAACCCGCACCACUUAUCGUGGUGGGAGACAGUGUCAGGCGGGCAGUUUGACUGGGGCGGUCGCCUCCUAAAAGGUAACGGAGGCGCUCAAAGGUUCCCUCAGAAUGGUUGGAAAUCAUUCAUAGAGUGUAAAGGCAUAAGGGAGCUUGACUGCGAGACCUACAAGUCGAGCAGGGUCGAAAGACGGACUUAGUGAUCCGGUGGU
rnacentral:rRNA from 1 species